GACGAACGCUGGCGGCGUGCCUAAUACAUGCAAGUCGAGCGGAAGUUGGAGAGCUUGCUCUUCAACUUUAGCGGCGGACGGGUGAGUAACACGUGGGCAACCUGCCCUGCAGAUCGGGAUAACUCCGGGAAACCGGUGCUAAUACCGAAUAGUUUUCGCCACCUCCUGGUGGCGUACGGAAAGACGGUUUCGGCUGUCACUGCAGGAUGGGCCCGCGGCGCAUUAGCUAGUUGGUGGGGUAACGGCCCACCAAGGCGACGAUGCGUAGCCGACCUGGGAGGGUGAUCGGCCACACUGGGACUGAGACACGGCCCAGACUCCUACGGGAGGCAGCAGUAGGGAAUCUUCCGCAAUGGACGAAAGUCUGACGGAGCAACGCCGCGUGAGUGACGAAGGUUUUCGGAUCGUAAAACUCUGUUGUGAGGGAAGAACAAGUACCAAUUAACUACUGGUACCUUGACGGUACCUCACCAGAAAGCCACGGCUAACUACGUGCCAGCCGCCGCAGUAACAC
rnacentral:rRNA from 1 species